rnacentral:rRNA from 1 species
GAUGAACGCUGGCGGCGUGCCUAAUACAUGCAAGUCGAGCGAAUGGAUUAAGAGCUUGCUCUUAUGAAGUUAGCGGCGGACGGGUGAGUAACACGUGGGUAACCUGCCCAUAAGACUGGGAUAACUCCGGGAAACCGGGGCUAAUACCGGAUAACAUUUUGAACCGCAUGGUUCGAAAUCGAAAGGCGGCUUCGGCUGUCACUUAUGGAUGGACCCGCGUCGCAUUAGCUAGUUGGUGAGGUAACGGCUCACCAAGGCAACGAUGCGUAGCCGACCUGAGAGGGUGAUCGGCCGCACUGGAACUGAGACACGGCCCAGACUCCUACGGGAGGCAGCAGUAGGGAAUCUUCCGCAAUGGACGAAAGUCUGACGGAGCAACGCCGCGUGAGUGAGGAAGGCUUUCGGGUCGUAAAACUCUGUUGUUAGGGAAGAACAAGUGCUAGUUGAAUAAGCUGGCACCUUGACGGUACCUAACCAGAAAGCCACGGCUAACUACGUGCCAGCCGCCGCAGUAA